rnacentral:rRNA from 1 species
GACAGAGGGUGCAACCGUUGUUCGGAAUUACUGGGCGUAAAGCGCGUGUAGGCGGCUCGGCAAGUCGGAUGUGAAAGCCCUGGGCUUAACCUAGGAAGUGCAUUCGAAACUGCCGAGCUGGAGUUCUGGAGAGGAAGGCGGAAUUCUCGGUGUAGAGGUGAAAUUCGUAGAUAUCGAGAGGAACACCGGUGGCGAAGGCGGCCUUCUGGACAGAAACUGACGCUGAGGCACGAAAGCGUGGGGAGCAAACAGG